UCAUAACCAAUUUGUAAGUCGCUCUGGAUAAGAGCGUCUGCUAAAUUACGUAAA
rfam:Salmo salar isolate Sally breed double haploid chromosome ssa18, whole genome shotgun sequence.